rnacentral:rRNA from 1 species
AGAGUUUGAUCCUGGCUCAGGAUGAACGCUAGCGGGAGGCCUAACACAUGCAAGCUGAGCGGUAUUGUUUCUUCGGAAACGAGAGAGCGGCGCACGGGUGCGGAACACGUGUGCAACCUGCCUUUAUCUGGGGGAUAGCCUUUCGAAAGGAAGAUUAAUACCCCAUAAUAUUUUGAAUGGCAUCAUUUAAAAUUGAAAACUCCGGUGGAUAGAGAUGGGCACGCGCAAGAUUAGAUAGUUGGUAGGGUAACGGCCUACCAAGUCAGUGAUCUUUAGGGGGCCUGAGAGGGUGAUCCCCCACACUGGUACUGAGACACGGACCAGACUCCUACGGGAGGCAGCAGUGAGGAAUAUUGGACAAUGGGUGAGAGCCUGAUCCAGCCAUCCCGCGUGAAGGACGACGGCCCUAUGGGUUGUAAACUUCUUUUGUACAGGGAUAAACCUAUUUACGUGUAAAUAGCUGAAGGUACUGUACGAAUAAGCACCGGCUAACUCCGUGCCAGCAGCCGCGGUAAUACGGAGGGUGCAAGCGUUAUCCGGAUUUAUUGGGUUUAAAGGGUCCGUAGGCGGAUCCGUAAGUCAGUGGUGAAAUCUCAUAGCUUAACUAUGAAACUGCCAUUGAUACUGCGGGUCUUGAGUAAGGUAGAAGUAGCUGGAAUAAGUAGUGUAGCGGUGAAAUGCAUAGAUAUUACUUAGAACACCAAUUGCGAAGGCAGGUUACUAUGUCUUAACUGACGCUGAUGGACGAAAGCGUGGGGAGCGAACAGGAUUAGAUACCCUGGUAGUCCACGCCGUAAACGAUGCUAACUCGUUUUUGGGCUUUCGGGUUCAGAGACUAAGCGAAAGUGAUAAGUUAGCCACCUGGGGAGUACGAACGCAAGUUUGAAACUCAAAGGAAUUGACGG